UAGGUGAGUGACCACACCAUCGUGGUUAUCCUGGGUCAUUAAGACCUUUUUUUGUAUAGUUCUUCUUCAAUGUUUUCUUGCCAUGUUUUCUUGAUCUCUUCUCCUUCUAUUAGGUCCUUGCCAUUUCUGUCCUUUAUUGAAAAAAGGCUGACUGGCUG